rnacentral:rRNA from 1 species
GACGAACCGUGCGAACGUUGUUCGGAAUCACUGGGCUUAAAGGGCGCGUAGGCGGCAGAUCAAGUCCGGGGUGAAAGCCUCCAGCUCAACUGGAGAAGUGCCUUGGAUACUGAUUUGCUCGAGGGAGGUAGGGGUCGAGGGAACUUCCGGUGGAGCGGUGAAAUGCGUUGAUAUCGGAAGGAACGCCGGUGGCGAAAGCGCUCGACUGGAUCUCUUCUGACGCUGAGGCGCGAAAGCUAGGGGAGCAAACGGG